rnacentral:rRNA from 1 species
UACAGAGGGGGCAAGCGUUAUUCGGAAUUAUUGGGCGUAAAGGGCGCGUAGGCGGCUUUGCAAGUGACGGGUGAAAUCCCUCGGCUUAACCGGGGAACUGCCUGUCAGACUGCAUGGCUUGAGACCGGGAGAGGUGAGUGGAAUUCCCAGUGUAGCGGUGAAAUGCGUAGAUAUUGGGAGGAACACCAGUGGCGAAGGCGGCUCACUGGACCGGUACUGACGCUGAGGCGCGAAAGCGUGGGGAGCAAACAGG